ensembl:misc_RNA Metazoa_SRP Metazoan signal recognition particle RNA
GCCGGGUGCAGUGUUAUGUGCCUGUAGUCCCAGCUAUAGUAUUUGGGAGGCUGAGGUACGAGGAUUGCUUGAGACCAGGAGUUCUGGGCUGUAGUGCUCUAUGCUGAUUGAGUGUCCACAAUAAGUUUGGUAUCAAUAUGGUGACCUCCAGGGAGUGAAGGGCCACCAGAUUGCCUAUGGAGGGGUGAACUGGUCCAGGUCAAACAUGUAACAGGUCAAAACUUGGUAGUGGGAUUGCACCUGUGAAUAUCCACUGCACUACACCCUGGACAACAUAGCCAGACCCUGUCUCU